rnacentral:rRNA from 1 species
AUUGGAUCCAGACUUUGAUUCUGGCUCAGGAUGAACUCUGGCGGCGUGCCUAAUACAUGCAAGUCGAACGAAUCUUCUUCGGAAGAUGAGUGGCGAACGGGUGAGUAAUACAUAGGUAACCUGCCCCUGUGCGGGGGAUAACAGGAGGAAACUCCUGCUAAUACCGCAUAGCCAUGAGCACCGCAUGGAGCUCAUGCCAAAUAUCCUUCAGGGGAUAGCGCAGGGAUGGACCUAUGGCGCAUUAGCUAGUUGGCGGGGCAACGGCCCACCAAGGCAACGAUGCGUAGCCGGCCUGAGAGGGCGGACGGCCACAUUGGGACUGAGACACGGCCCAGACUCCUACGGGAGGCAGCAGUAGGGAAUUUUCGGCAAUGGGGGAAACCCUGACCGAGCAACGCCGCGUGAGCGAAGAAGGCCUUCGGGUCGUAAAGCUCUGUUGUAAAGGAAGAACGUCGCAUGCAGGAAAUGGUGUGCGAGUGACGGUACUUUACCAG